rfam:Triticum aestivum genome assembly, contig: Triticum_aestivum_CS42_TGACv1_scaffold_211442_3AS
UACAUACUCCCUCCGUCCGAAAAUACUUGUCAUGAAAAUUGAUAAAGAGGGAUGUAUCUAGAACUAAAAUACAUCUAGAUACAUGCUCUUUUAUUCAUUUUGAUGACAACUAUUUCCGGACGGAGGGAGUAGCAU